UUAGUGGCGGACGGGUGAGUAACGCGUGGGUAACCUGCCGUAUGCAGGGGGAUAACACUUAGAAAUAGGUGCUAACACCGCAUAAGCGCACGAGAGCGCAUGCUUUUGUGUGAAAAACUCCGGUGGCAUACGAUGGACCCGCGUCUGAUUAGCCAGUUGGCAGGGUAACGGCCUACCAAAGCGACGAUGCGUAGGGGUUCUGAGAGGAAGGUCCCCCACACUGGUACUGAGACACGGACCAGACUCCUACGGGAGGCAGCAG
rnacentral:rRNA from 1 species